rnacentral:rRNA from 1 species
GAUGAACGCUGGCGGCGUGCCUAAUACAUGCAAGUCGAGCGAACAGACGAGGAGCUUGCUCCUCUGACGUUAGCGGCGGACGGGUGAGUAACACGUGGAUAACCUACCUAUAAGACUGGGAUAACUUCGGGAAACCGGAGCUAAUACCGGAUAAUAUAUUGAACCGCAUGGUUCAAUAGUGAAAGACGGUUUUGCUGUCACUUAUAGAUGGAUCCGCGCCGCAUUAGCUAGUUGGUAAGGUAACGGCUUACCAAGGCAACGAUGCGUAGCCGACCUGAGAGGGUGAUCGGCCACGCUGGAACUGAGACACGGUCCAGACUCCUACGGGAGGCAGCAGUAGGGAAUCUUCCGCAAUGGGCGAAAGCCUGACGGAGCAACGCCGCGUGAGUGAUGAAGGUCUUCGGAUCGUAAAACUCUGUUAUUAGGGAAGAACAAAUGUGUAAGUAACUAUGCACGUCUCGACGGUACCUAAUCAGAAAGCCACGGCUAACUACGUG